UACGUAGGGUCCGAGCGUUGUCCGGAAUUAUUGGGUGACGUAAGGGCUCGUAGGCGGUUCGUCACGUCGGGAGUGAAAACUCGGGCUUAACCCCGAGCCUGCUUCCGAUACGGGCAGACUAGAGGUAGGCAGGGGAGAGCGGAACUCCUGGUGUAGCGGUGGAAUGCGCAGAUAUCAGGAAGAACACCGGUGGCGAAGGCGGCUCUCUGGGCCUUACCUGACGCUGAGGAGCGAAAGCGUGGUAGCGAACAGG
rnacentral:rRNA from 1 species